rnacentral:rRNA from 1 species
GAUGAACGCUGGCGGCGUGCCUAAUACAUGCAAGUCGAGCGAACAGACGAGGAGCUUGCUCCUCUGACGUUAGCGGCGGACGGGUGAGUAACACGUGGAUAACCUACCUAUAAGACUGGGAUAACUUCGGGAAACCGGAGCUAAUACCGGAUAAUAUAUUGAACCGCAUGGUUCAAUAGUGAAAGACGGUUUUGCUGUCACUUAUAGAUGGAUCCGCGCCGCAUUAGCUAGUUGGUAAGGUAACGGCUUACCAAGGCAACGAUGCGUAGCCGACCUGAUAGGGUGAUCGCCCACACUGGAACUGAGGCACGGUCCAGACUCCUACGGGAGGCAGCAGUAGGGAAUCUUCCGCAAUGCGCGAAAGCCUGACGGAGCAACGCCGCGUGAGUGAUGAAGGUCUUCGGAUCGUAAAACUCUGUUAUUAGGGAAGAACAAAUGUGUAAGUAACUAUGCACGUCUUGACGGUACCUAAUCAGAAAGCCACGGCUAACUACGUG